CCUACGGGGGGCAGCAGUGGGGAAUAUUGGACAAUGGGGGGAACCCUGAUCCAGCCAUGCCGCGUGUGUGAAGAAGGCCCUCGGGUUGUAAAGCACUUUCAGUGAGGAAGAACGCCUGGUGGUUAAUACCCAUCAGGAAAGACAUCACUCACAGAAGGAGCACCGGCUAACUCCGUGCCAGCAGCCGCGGUAAUACGGAGGGUGCGAGCGUUAAUCGGAAUUACUGGGCGUAAAGCGCGCGUAGGUGGCUUGAUAAGCCGGUUGUGAAAGCCCCGGGCUCAACCUGGGAACGGCAUCCGGAACUGUCAAGCUAGAGUGCAGGAGAGGAAGGUAGAAUUCCCGGUGUAGCGGUGAAAUGCGUAGAGAUCGGGAGGAAUACCAGUGGCGAAGGCGGCCUUCUGGACUGACACUGACACUGAGGUGCGAAAGCGUGGGUAGCAAACAGGAUUAGAUACCCUUGUAGUC
rnacentral:rRNA from 1 species